GUAAUGAAUUUUCUGUUUUGCUUGGCUCACAAUUCUGAAGUUGUUAGUAAUGAAAGAUAUUAUAUUCUAAAUCACUUUUCCCAACUGUAAACGCAAAUGCCAAUAGAAAUACGUCAAUGCCCGGCUAUGCCAACGCUGGCUUUCCUGAUUGGAAAACCUCUUCUUCCCCUGCCUUGUUCUUCUUGGCUGAAAUCUGUCACUCCUGGAGUGAACCGGCUGUUGCAGGAACUAACUCCACAGGCGAAACCACGUAUAGAAGGAAACAGAACUUUGUCUAAAUGUCAGAGACAACCCCCAUCUAGUUGUCCAAAUGUCAGGACGUGCUUCGAAUGUCAGAAUGCACGCACAUCUCGUUAUCCUCCCAUUAAAAGUUCAGUAAAGAAACUGUAUACAGAGGAAGAAUAAUCUCUUGUAAUUUAGCAGGAAAUUAUUUUUUAAACUUUAAUUUCAUUGUUAUUGGUAUGCUUAGUGUAGUGAUCAAUUGCCGGGGAGCAUGUAUUCGUUAUCAGUGCUAACAGCCAUACCCCGUUUGUUUUUUUAUACAUUUACCUUUGGUAUCAAACAGAAACUCCUUACACCUCGGUAUGAGGAGAGCUGACAAAACAUUGGUAACUGAAUACAGCUACUGCAGGAUUUGUAAGUAUAUUGCUAUAACACAUUUUAACUUUGUGGAUCACAAAAUGCUGGGUGUGAUGAAACAAGUUUGUCAGCAUCACUUGUACAGGAUGUUCACUGCACUGCAAAAUAGUGUCCAUAUGGGUUAAUUUCUCAGUGUCUUUUUGCAAAAUCUCCUUAUCCAAGUCUGCAAGGGUUUAGCCCUGUAUAAUCCUCUCAUUUCCUUCGGCGAUUGUUCCUCAUGACUCGCUUAAAAGGCUUUAGUUAAUUCAGUCAUAAACUAAACCUGUGUAUGGAAGUCUGAACAGUUUGUUGUUAAGGAUUGUGGUACAUGUAUUUAAAAGGCUUCAUCAAAAUCCGUGUCCUAAAAAGAGCAGUUUUGACAGGUUACUAAAAUUUGCUCUCGGGUAAAUGUAAUAAUACGGUCCUUUAUCCUUUGUAUUGGUGUUUAAGGUAUGAGUCUUUCUACUAAAUAAAUAUAUAAUUUGGGAUAGAAAAAGAACUUCGGCCGUGGCGAGGAUUUGAUUUCUGGUAAUCAUGUUUUCAAGUGAGGUGUGUAGAUUUGUAACAGGAGAUUGUAUUUAUGAAGGAUGAUAUACUAUAGUAUUGAUUUUGGUCAGUUCAAUUUGCCAAAACAUGUUGCUAGUAAUGUGAUCUAUCUAAUCAGAGAUUUAUUUGUCCGAUAACAAAACUGAAUCCACCAUCAAGACGACCAUAAAUUAAAGUUACGCGUAACAAUCUCUGCAAAAUUCAAGUCCAGCACCAGUUAAUUCCACGAAACUGCCAAUAGAGAACAGGCAGCGAAAUGAAUUUGUUUAAUCAGGACAGUUCAGGGGUU